rnacentral:rRNA from 1 species
AUUGAACGCUGGUGGCAGGCUUAACACAUGCCAGUCGAACGGUAACAGGAAUUAGCUUGCUAAUUUGCUGACGAGUGGCGGACGGGUGAGCAAUGCUUGGGAAUCUGGCUUAUGGAGGGGGAUAACUACGGGAAACUGUAGCUAAUACCGCGUAAAAUCUUCGGAUUAAAGGGUGGGACUUUCGAGCCACCUGCCAUAAGAUGAGCCCAAGUGGGAUUAGGUAGUUGGUUAGGUAAAGGCUGACCAAGCCGACGAUCUCUAGCUGGUCUGAGAGGAUGACCAGCCACACUGGAACUGAGACACGGUCCAGACUCCUACGGGAGGCAGCAGUGGGGAAUAUUGCACAAUGGGGGGAACCCUGAUGCAGCCAUGCCGCGUGAAUGAAGAAGGCCUUCGGGUUGUAAAGUUCUUUCGGUGACGAGGAAGGUUGAUAGGUUAAUAGCCUAUCAAAUUGACGUUAAUCACAGAAGAAGCACCGGCUAACUCCGUG